rnacentral:rRNA from 1 species
UACGGAGGGUGCAAGCGUUAUCCGGAUUCACUGGGUUUAAAGGGUGCGUAGGUGGGCAGGUAAGUCAGUGGUGAAAUCUCCGGGCUUAACUCGGAAACUGCCAUUGAUACUAUCUGUCUUGAAUACCGUGGAGGUUAGCGGAAUAUGUCAUGUAGCGGUGAAAUGCUUAGAUAUGACAUAGAACACCAAUUGCGAAGGCAGCUCGCUGGGACGUUACUGACGCUGAGACGCGAAAGCGUGGGGAGCAAACAGG